AUGCAUUUCCACACAUAACGAUUGCUGUUAACUGUCAAGAAUAAGUUCAGAACAUGGAGAAAGUACAUUUUAAUGAGUGGAUGUGAACUUUGCCUGGUUAAUGAAUUAAACUCGGAUACAAGUAUGUGAUAAAAUAUCCUGGACCAUUUCCUGUUUUUAAAAAAAUGUUACCUGAUACAAACCCAACAAAAUAUAAGAAAUUGAUGUAGUUAGUAAUCACUGCUGUCAUUUUUUUGUAUAGGCUGCCAUCAGGAAGGCGCUUUACGUUACUGGAUGUACCAGUUCAAAGGGAUAUCUUCUAAACAGAAUUGAUGUGGAGGUAAAGGCUCUUGUGUCCAAUAUCGACACAGAGGACAAGAAAGUUAUGAAGGGCCUUAAAAGGAAAAUUCAAAACAAAAUCAACUAUUUAAGGAAGAGAAUGCACUCUCUGGACAGAGAAUACAAGAGAAACAAGGCCAGAGAGCACAAUCUACCUACUCACAACAUGGAAAAAAUGUCAAUGAGCAGUUUAAGUCGG